rnacentral:rRNA from 1 species
AACGAACGCUGGCGGCAGGCUUAACACAUGCAAGUCGAGCGCCCCGCAAGGGGAGCGGCAGACGGGUGAGUAACGCGUGGGAAUCUACCCAUCUCUGCGGAAUAGCUCCGGGAAACUGGAAUUAAUACCGCAUACGUCCUUCGGGAGAAAGAUUUAUCGGAGAUGGAUGAGCCCGCGUUGGAUUAGCUAGUUGGUGGGGUAAUGGCCUACCAAGGCGACGAUCCAUAGCUGGUCUGAGAGGAUGAUCAGCCACACUGGGACUGAGACACGGCCCAGACUCCUACGGGAGGCAGCAGUGGGGAAUAUUGGACAAUGGGCGAAAGCCUGAUCCAGCCAUGCCGCGUGAGUGAUGAAGGCCCUAGGGUUGUAAAGCUCUUUCACCGGUGAAGAUAAUGACGGUAACCGGAGAAGAAGCCCCGGCUAACUUCGUGCCAGCAGCCGCAGUAACAC